rnacentral:rRNA from 1 species
UACGUAGGUGACAAGCGUUGUCCGGAUUUAUUGGGCGUAAAGAGCUCGUAGGCGGCUUGUUGCGUCGACUGUGAAAACCCGCGGCUUAACCGCGGGCUUGCAGUUGAUACGGGCAGGCUAGAGUUCGGUAGGGGAGACUGGAAUUCCUGGUGUAGCGGUGGAAUGCGCAGAUAUCAGGAAGAACACCCGUGGCGAAGGCGGCUCUCUGGGACGGUACUGACGCUGAGACGCGAAAGCGUGGGGAGCGAACAGG